rnacentral:rRNA from 1 species
AUAAUAUUUGUUUUAUUUUUGUUAUUUAUCUUGUUUAAUUUUUAUUUUACAUGUAAAUUUUUGUGAGAAUUCUUUUAAAUCUAAAUGAUUUAUUAAUUUUAAAUUAUUCGCAGUAAUUAAUAUUAUAAAUAAAAGAAAUUUUGAUUUAGUAAUAAAUUUUAGUAUUGGUAAAUUUUGUGCCAGCAACCGCGGUUAUACAAAUAAUACAAAUAAGAUUUAUUAGUAAUAGUUAAUUUGAUUUAUAAAAUAAAAUUAUUUUAAAUUUUUUAAGUGAAAUUUUAAAUUUAAUUAAUUUUAUAUAAAAAGAUAAUGAAGCUAAGAAAUUUUAAUAAUAAACUAGGAUUAGAUACCCUAUU